AAACCUGCAACUGGCAAUGAAAGCAGUGAAAAAAUGAAGAGGUGUUUUAACAAAGCUGUAUCUCCUUGAGUUCUUCGGGAGAGCCACCAGAGAAGAGAGCAUCAACUCCCCCACCUCUGCUCCCCUUGGGGAAGAUGAAAGUUGCAAUGAAGUCAUCCCUGAGCCUUCUCUUCUCCAAACUGAAGAAGCCAAGUGACCUCAGCUGUUCUUUAUUUACAUAAAACAUCUAUGAAGACAAACACAACGCAGAGGUUUCCUGCCUGUGGUGUUAAGGAAUGGUGCUGAUUUGAGGCUAAAUGGAAUAUUUUAAUGAAAGAAAUUAAAUCAUUGGCUGUAAAAAGAAAAUAAUGAUCUAUACCACCUAUUGGUUUUACUGAGAGGUAUAAAUACUUGUAACAAUAAUAAAGUGUCU